UACGUAGGGUGCGAGCGUUUAAUCGGAAUUACUGGGCGUAAAGUGUGCGCAGGCGGCCGAGCAAGUCGAGUGUGAAAGCCCCGAGCUUAACUUGGGAACUGCGCUCGAAACUACUUGGCUGGAGUGUGGCAGAGGAAGGUGGAAUUCCACGUGUAGCAGUGAAAUGCGUAGAUAUCAGGAGGAACACCGAUGGCGAAGGCAGGUCUCUGGGCCACUACUGACGCUGAGAAGCGAAAGCAUGGGGAGCGAACAGG
rnacentral:rRNA from 1 species